rnacentral:rRNA from 1 species
AAUGAACGCUGGCGGCGUGUCUUAAGCAUGCAAGUCGGGCGGCAAGCGGUAGCAAUACCGCCUAGAGCGGCGGACUGGUGAGUAACACGUGGGUGAUCUGCCUCGGGGUUGGGGAUAGCCAUUAGAAAUAGUGGGUAAUACCGAAUACGCUUCCACGAUUACGGUCAUGGAAGGAAAGGCGCUAAGGCGCCGACCUGAGAUGAGCCUGCGUCCCAUUAGCUAGUUGGUGAGGUAACGGCCCACCAAGGCGAUGAUGGGUAGGCGGCCUGAGAGGGUGUACGCCCACAUUGGGACUGAGAUACGGCCCAAACUCCUACGGGAGGCAGCAGCUAAGAAUAUUCCGCAAUGGACGAAAGUCUGACGGAGCGACGCCGCGUGGAUGAUGAAGGCCGGAAGGUUGUAAAUCCUUUUGUCGGGGAAGAAUAAGCAUGGGAGGGAAUGCCCGUGUGAUGACAUGAACCGGCGAAUAAGCCCCGGCUAACUACGUGCCAGCAGCCGAC